GACGAACGCUGGCGGCGUGCUUAACACAUGCAAGUCGAACGGUGAAGCGCCUUCCUUUUUGGUGGGUGUGGAUGAGUGGCGAACGGGUGAGUAACACGUGAGUAACCUGCCCCCUUCUUCUGGAUAACCGCAUGAAAGUGUGGCUAAUACGGGAUAUUCUGGGUCUGUCGCAUGAUGGGUCUGGGAAAGAUAUUGUUUCGGUGGGGGAUGGGCUCGCGGCCUAUCAGCUUGUUGGUGGGGUGAUGGCCUACCAAGGCGGUGACGGGUAGCCGGCCUGAGAGGGUGGACGGUCACACUGGGACUGAGACACGGCCCAGACCCCUACGGGAGGCAGCAGUGGGGAAUAUUGCACAAUGGGCGCAAGCCUGAUGCAGCGACGCCGCGUGAGGGAUGGAGGCCUUCGGGUUGUGAACCUCUUUCGCCAGUGAAGCAGGCCUGCCUCGUUUGUGGGUGGGUUGACGGUAGCUGGAGAAGAAGCGCCGGCUAACUACGUG
rnacentral:rRNA from 1 species